rnacentral:rRNA from 1 species
AGAGUUUGAUCAUGGCUCAGAAUGAACGCUGGCGGCAUGGCUAAGACAUGCAAGUCGAACGGACUAUUUUGAAGAGUAAUCGGAUUAAUAGUUAGUGGCGAAAGGGUGAGGAAUGGAUAGGUAACGUACCUCGGGCUCCGGAAUAGCUCAUCGAAAGGUGGGGUAAUGCCGGAUGAUGUCCUGUGUUUAAUACACGGGACCAAAGAUUUAUCGGCCCCUGAGCGGCCUAUUCCCUAUCAGCUUGUUGGUGAGGUAACGGCUCACCAAGGCUUCGACGGGUAGCGGGACUGAGAGGUUGACCCGCCACAUCGGAACUGACACACUGUCCGGACCUCCGCGGAGGGCUGCAGUAGCGAAUAUUGGGCAAUGGGCUAACGCCUGACCCAGCAAUGCCGCGUGUAGGAUGAAGCUUUUCGGAGUGUAAACUACUUUCAGGGAUUAGAAAGCUACGGUUGAUCAAUCCCAGAAGAAGUCACGGCUAACUUCGUGCCAGCAGCCGCGGUAAUACGAAGGUGGCAAGCGUUAUUCGAAAUCACUGGGCUUAAAGGGCGCGUAGGCGAUAUGUAAGUGUCAGGGUGAAUCCCUCGGGCUUAACC